GAUGAACGCUGGCUACAGGCUUAACACAUGCAAGUCGAGGGGAAACGACGGGGAAGCUUGCUUCCCCGGGCGUCGACCGGCGCACGGGUGAGUAACGCGUAUCCAACCUGCCUCUGACUGAGGGAUAACCCGUCGAAAGUCGGCCUAAUACCUCAUGGCAUCGUCUGCGGGCAUCCAACGACGAUUAAAGAUUUCAUCGGUCAGGGAUGGGGCUGCGUCUGAUUAGCUUGUUGGCGGGGUAACGGCCCACCAAGGCCACGAUCAGUAGGGGUUCUGAGAGGAAGGUCCCCCAAAUUAGAACUGAGACACGGUCCAAACUGCUACGGGAGGCAGCAGUGAGGAAUAUUGGUCAAGGGGCGGGAGCCUGAACCAGCCAAGUAGCGUGCAGGAUGACGGCCCUAUGGGUUGUAAACUGCUUUUAUGCGGGGAUAAAGUGAGGGACGUGUCCUUCAUUGCAGGUACCGAAUGAAUAAGGACCGGCUAAUUCCGUG
rnacentral:rRNA from 1 species